rnacentral:lncRNA from 1 species
GAGCUACAAUAAUGGAAAGAAUAUGAAUUAAUAUUAUUUUAGCGAGUGCAAAACCUGGCAGCUGUGUGAUUUCCACCCACGAGGGCAACUCGAGUACUUCGCAUUUUUGUCCACAAUAACAACAAAUCCUUUAACCUUUGAAUUUCCAUUUGUCAAUGAUAAUACUCUCCUUCCUUCUAUAUUUUCCAGAUCGAUGACUUCUAUUUGGAAUAUUAACAAUACUCC